ACGCAGCAACGCCGCGUGGGGGAAGACGGCCUUCGGGUUGUAAACCCCUUUCAGGAGGGACGAAGGUUCACCGGUGAAUAGCCGAGUGGAUUGACGGUACCUCCACAAGAAGCUCCGGCUAACUACGUGCCAGCAGCCGCGGUAAUACGGUAGGGAGCAAGCGUUGUCCGGAAUCAGUUGGGCGUAAAGCGCGUGUAGGUGGCCACAUAAGUCCGUUGUGAAAGUCGAAAGGCUCAACCUUUGAAAGCCGAUGGAUACUGUGUGGCUAGAGUACGGAAGAGGCGAGUGGAAUUCCUGGUGUAGCGGUGGAAUGCGCAGAUAUCAGGAGGAACACCAAUAGCGAAGGCAGCUCGCUGGGACGUUACUGACACUGAGGCGCGAAAGCGUGGGGAGCGAACAGGAUUAGAUACCCUGGUAGUCCACGCCGUAAACGAUGGGUACUAGGUGUGGGAGGUGUCGACUCCUCCCGUGCCGUCGCUAACGCACUAAGUACCCCGCCUGGGGAGUACGGCCGCAAGGCUA
rnacentral:rRNA from 1 species